rnacentral:lncRNA from 1 species
AUGAAGUACACCCAAGUUUAUCUGCUUGUCACUGGUACCGCAGCUGCAUUGAUGGUUCUUUGCCGUGGACGGGACAUCAACUGCAGUGUUACUGAAGAUGCUUAUGGGACCCUUUACACUGUUCCAGAUUUCCAGGCAACCACAUGUAUCUACUCCUGGAUGAAUAGUACUGGUCAUGUGCUGGUGAAUAAUAAGGAGAAGGUGACUGGCCUGGUGGCAAACAGCAGUAUCAGGACUCUUCUCACCCGUGCAUGUUUGAAGCAGGUCAACUACAGUCGUGCCUGCGUCUCUGAGGGCAUACAACACACAACCAGUUGUUUCACUGGCUGCAGUGUAACUUCUAACCCUCAGAAGAGUGAAGGUACACCUUCUCACCGCUGGAGUACACUUAUCACCGUCUUUAUCAUGGCGCUUUUACAUCUUCAGUGUUUGUCUGCAAUCAGCUAGAAGAUGGGUCCUCCAGUUUACCAGCUUUAACCCACAUGGCAGCAUGAUCUAAAAUCCCUGUCUUGGUUUUGUUCCUACAUCAUUUGUUCCAGAAGAGAGUUUUAUAUAAACAAAGAAAUUAUUUUUCUUUUUCCCUCAACAUUUCAAAGCUAGGAGAUCACACAUUGAUUGGUCAGUUCCCACAGUAUGGGGUUCACUUGGAAGAGUGGGUUGCUGAGGCCAGAAUGAUUAUCAGCCUUCUACUUACAGGGUGGUGGGUGUUGGAGGACAACUGCUGAUCCUAGUUAAAGCAAUCAACGUGUAAAGAGUACCUGAUUUGCUCUGGCCUUGGAAUGUAUGUUUUAUCCCUGUUGCAAGUGGUACACUGAACUGUUUUGUCCUUCAUUAUUUUAUGAUUGUACUAAUGAAAUAUAUUUUACAAUUAUUUUGGUUGUCAUCUUUUGCCUACAGCUGAGAUGGUUGCUCAUACCUAGAAUCUGUGUAUGUUUCAGCUGUGCGGGAAAAUCCCGGUAGUUCAGCAAUACUCAGACCAGCAUGUCUGGCACCAACAGCCAUCCCGUAUUCAAAGUCACUUAACCUGCCCUUCUUCACCCAUUCUGAUGCUGCGUUUCAGCUUCAGCAGGUCAUCUUGAGUAUGUUUACACAUCUAUGGAUUGGCUCUAAAUUGAAAAGGUUAUCAUAAUAAUGAAAUAAUCUACUGCACCUAAGCUUUUACAGCUACAUUAGUGGUUCUGUAAGGCAGUCUUCACUCAUUGUUGUGGUAACUGGCAUUAAAUAAGGACAAAUUAAAUUUUUGGAAAAGCCUGACAGGCAUAAUAAAUCACAAUAUUCCCUGAAAACAAUCCACAACGACAAAGUAAACAGGCAGAAACAAAAAAACAAAACAACAUUCGGGGAUGUUCAAGUUCAUAUGUGCGUGAAGGCAGACAGGCCCAUGAGACUUUAGUUUAAGAAGCAUUCUCAAAGACACACCACACAAUAUCACAUGGCAGCUUCAGGAAAUGGUAAACACUGCUGAGUAAAAUACAUUAACUCACUAAGUGAUUAUUUGAGAUCAGUUCAUUUUUGGCAACUUUUCAAAUGGAAGCGCUGCAAUUUCAGAUCCCUUUGUAUGUUAUACACGAGCUCAGUCUAAUUUUCAGUGAGGGUAUGGUGUCAUAGGGUCCUGCCACAGUACGCUUCCUCUUCAUGUUCACAUCAAUUCUCCGAAAUGCUUCAGUUACACUAAAUUACCUUGUCAGCAGCAUGUUAUGGACAGCUGCCAUGUCCUCGAACCUCAAAACAAACAAGCUAAAAAGGAAGUUAUGCAAAGUUACUCAAAACAACUGUAGUUAGAUGUGUCACUAAAAUGACUUAUGCUCCUGACUUCUUAAAAAAAAAAAAAACAUGACAUUUGACUUCCCUGGAAAAAGCCUGGUGAUCAUUUUUGAGGUUCUGGAAAAAUGACUCACCUGUAGCUCAGGUUGAGUUUGUGUGUAGUUCAGAAGUAAAAGUAAGGACUCUGAAAUAUUUCAAACUGGCAGCAUAACAAUCAACACCUCUGAGAGUCUUAGACAAGCCCUUUUUAGUCAGUGGGUUUGCAAAAGGAUUAGAAUAAUCAGUUGGUUAAAGUGACAGGUUUCUGACACGGGUCACUUUUUGGUGUACUCCAUUUUUGGACAUUUUAUUAUGCCUGAAGGGAGCAUGGCUGCAGAUUGACUUUUAAAUUAGACUUCAAACUUCAAGUCUUGCUG